rnacentral:rRNA from 1 species
CGUAGGGUGCAAGCGUUAAUCGGAAUUACUGGGCGUAAAGCGUGCGCAGGCGGUUUCGUAAGUCUGUCGUGAAAUCCCCGGGCUUAACCUGGGAAUGGCGAUGGAGACUGCGAAGCUAGAGUUUGGCAGAGGGGGUAGAAUUCCACGUGUAGCAGUGAAAUGCGUAGAGAUGUGAGGAACACCGAUGGCGAAGGCAGCCCCCUGGGUCAAAACUGACGCUCAUGCACGAAAGCGUGGGGAGCAAACAGGAUUAGAUACCCUGGUAGUCCACGCCCUAAACGAUGUCUACUAGUUGUUGGGUCUUAAUUGACUUAGUAACGCAGCUAACGCGUGAAGUAGACCGCCUGGGGAGUACGGUCGCAAGAUUA